UACGUAGGGUGCGAGCGUUAAUCGGAAUUACUGGGCGUAAAGCGUGCGCAGGCGGUUGGCAAAGUCAGCUGUGAAAUCCCCGGGCUCAACCUGGGAACUGCAUUUGUGACUGCACGGCUCGAGUGCGGCAGAGGGGGAUGGAAUUCCGCGUGUAGCAGUGAAAUGCGUAGAUAUGCGGAGGAACACCGAUGGCGAAGGCAAUCCCCUGGGCCUGCACUGACGCUCAUGCACGAAAGCGUGGGGAGCAAACAGG
rnacentral:rRNA from 1 species